UACGGAGGGGGCUAGCGUUGUUCGGAAUUACUGGGCGUAAAGCGCGCGUAGGCGGACCUGCAAGUCGGGGGUGAAAGCCCGAGGCUCAACCUCGGAACUGCCUUCGAUACUGCGGGUCUCGAGUCCGGGAGAGGUGAGUGGAAUUCCUAGUGUAGAGGUGAAAUUCGUAGAUAUUAGGAAGAACACCAGUGGCGAAGGCGGCUCACUGGCCCGGUACUGACGCUGAGGAGCGAAAGCCAGGGGAGCAAACGGG
rnacentral:rRNA from 1 species